UAAAUAAAUAAAUAACAAUCAACAAAUUAUAAUCUAAACAUAAAAUGUAACAAAAUCUCAGUCCUAAAAUAUCCUAAAUAAAUAAACUUAAAGUCAAUCAAACACAACAAAAGAACAUACAAUAAUAACAAAACUAUUUAAUGCAAAGACGAUAUCACUCUUCAACUUCUUCUGCUUUGGUACCUUCUUCACCUGUCGAUUCAUCAUCUACUCACACAAAAAAUGUGCAAGCAACCCACAACACAUGAGAAACAAAUGAAGGUGAGUUAUCACACUCAAAAGAUAAAAUGGGCACUGUAUAUGAAAAUUCAAAUGCACAAUUUUCAACACACAACAAAAAUGUAUCAACAUAACUCGGUCGGUAUUCAAUUGGAACCCACCAAUAGUAAAUAUAAUUAAAGAAUCUUGUCAAAGUGACGCAGUCUGGUUAGAUCUGACCGUAUUAUUAAGAUUAAACGGUCCAGAUUUAAAGCAGUCAUGCAGUCUGAUCAAAUUUUUCUUUCAAUAUGAAACAUAUAUACGAUCAUAAUCGGACGACCAGAUCUAUCCUGAUUGUAUGCAGUUUUGACUGAUGCAACCUAGAUCCUAUAUCAUAACCAUCAAACAAGAAUACCGCAAUAGUAACUAAAAAUAUACAUACAUCAACAUAAUUAUAUUAUAUCAUCUACACUUUUUUUAAUCUGGUGGGGGGUAUCUCAUAACUUCUUUUUUUUUCCAACAAAGCAUACUUGCUAAAAUUUUACAUUUUAGAAUAAAUAAAUGGAUCUAUCGGAGUUCAAACUUUGAUCCUGCAUAUUACAU
rnacentral:lncRNA from 1 species